rnacentral:rRNA from 1 species
UACGUAGGGGGCUAGCGUUGUCCGGAAUCAUUGGGCGUAAAGCGCGUGUAGGCGGUCCGGUAAGUCCGCUGUGAAAGUCGGGGGCUCAACCCUCGGAUGCCGGUGGAUACUGUCGGGCUUGAGUACGGAAGAGGCGAGUGGAAUUCCUGGUGUAGCGGUGAAAUGCGCAGAUAUCAGGAGGAACACCAAUUGCGAAGGCAGCUCGCUGGGACGUUACUGACGCUGAGGAGCGAAAGCAUGGGGAGCGAACAGG